rnacentral:rRNA from 1 species
GGCGAACGCUGGCGGCAGGCUUAACACAUGCAAGUCGAACGCCAUCUUCGGAUGGAGUGGCAGACGGGUGAGUAACGCGUGGGAACGUACCCUUUGGUUCGGAAUAUUCUCGGGAAACUGAGAGCAAUACCGGAUAAGCCCUACGGGGGAAAGAUUUAUCGCCAAAGGAGCGGCCCGCGUCAGAUUAGGUAGUUGGUGGGGUAAAGGCCUACCAAGCCUACGAUCUGUAGCUGGUCUGAGAGGAUGAUCAGCCACACUGGGACUGAGACACGGCCCAGACUCCUACGGGAGGCAGCAGUGGGGAAUCUUGGACAAUGGGCGCAAGCCUGAUCCAGCCAUGCCGCGUGGAUGAUGAAGGCCUUAGGGCUGUAAAAUCCUUUCAACGGGGACGAUAAUGACGGUACCCGUAGAAGAAGCCCCGGCUAACUACGUG